rnacentral:rRNA from 1 species
UACGUAGGGUGCAAGCGUUAUCCGGAAUUAUUGGGCGUAAAGAGCUCGUAGGCGGUUUGUCGCGUCUGCUGUGAAAACUGGAGGCUCAACCCCGGGCCUGCAGUGGAUACGGGCUGGCUAGAGGCAGGCAGGGGAGAACGGAAUUCCUGGUGUAGCGGUGAAAUGCGCAGAUAUCAGGAGGAACACUGGUGGCGAAGGCGGUUCUCUAGUACGGUACUGACGCUGAGACGCGAAAGCGUGGGGAGCGAACAGG